rnacentral:rRNA from 1 species
CCUACGGGAGGCAGCAGUAGGGAAUAUUGCUCAAUGGGGGAAACCCUGAAGCAGCAACGCCGCGUGGAGGAUGAAGGUUUUAGGAUUGUAAACUCCUUUUGUUAGAGAAGAUUAUGACGGUAUCUAACGAAUAAGCACCGGCUAACUCCGUGCCAGCAGCCGCGGUAAUACGGAGGGUGCAAGCGUUACUCGGAAUCACUGGGCGUAAAGAGUGCGUAGGCGGGGUAAUAAGUCAGAUGUGAAAUCCUGUGGCUUAACUACAGAAAUGCAUUUGAAACUGUUACUCUGGAGUGUGGGAGAGGUAGGUGGAAUGCUUGGUGUAGGGGUAAAAUCCGUAGAGAUCAAGAGGAAUACUCAUUGCGAAGGCGACCUGCUGGAACAUUACUGACGCUGAUGCACGAAAGCGUGGGGAGCAAACAGGAUUAGAUACCCCAGUAGUC